UACGGGGGGGAGCAAGCGUUGUUCGGAUUUACUGGGCGUAAAGGGCGCGUAGGCGGUCAGCACAAGUCAAUUGUGAAAUCUCCGGGCUUAACUCGGAAAGGUCAACUGAUACUGUGCGACUAGAGUGCAGAAGGGGCAACUGGAAUUCUCGGUGUAGCGGUGAAAUGCGUAGAUAUCGAGAGGAACACCUGCGGCGAAGGCGGGUUGCUGGGCUGACACUGACGCUGAGGCGCGAAAGCCAGGGGAGCGAACGGG
rnacentral:rRNA from 1 species